rnacentral:lncRNA from 1 species
UAUGUUUCGGUUAUUAUAUUUUUAUAAGUAUAGAUCUUUUUUAUAUUUAUAAAUUUUCAACCGUUAGAACGGUCUUUUUAAUUAUUUUCACUCGUUGGAUUAUACUAUUCAACUAACUACCAACUCAACCCUAAAAAACUACUAGCAUUCUAAUCGGAAACCACUAUUAUUAGAAUUGCACAUUCCUUCAUUCAAUGGCCAAAAACUUUUUUUUUAGAGAUAGGUAGCACGCUACCCACUUCAUUUAUUUCAUUUAG